CUCAGACAGGUAGGACUACCCGCUGAACUUAAGCAUAUCAAUAAGCGGAGGAAAAGAAACUAACAAGGAUUCCCCUAGUAACGGCGAGUGAAGAGGGAAAAGCCCAAGUUUGAAAGCUGGCACCUUCGGUGUCCGCAUUGUAAACUCGAGAAGCAUUAUCCGCGCCGGACCGAGCUUUAAAUCCUUUGGAAUAAGGUACCUUAGAGGGUGAUAGUCCCUUUCAUAGUUCGGAACCCCCGGGGCUUUGUGAUUUGCUCUCCAAGAGUCGAGUUGUUUGGGAAUGCAGCUCAAAAUGGGUGGUAAAUGCCAUCUAAGGCUAAAUAUAGAGGAGAGACCGAUAGCGAACAAGUACCGUGAGGGAAAGAUGAAAAGAACUUUGGAAAGAGAGUUAAACAGUACGUGAAAUUGCCGGAAGGGAAGGGUAGGAAGUCAGAUAUGCCUUUGCGGAUUCAGCUUGACCUUUCGAGGUUGUGUGUAUUUCCGUCUCGGCAGGCCAACAUCGAUUUUGGCUGUCGGAUAUGAGUGGAAGGAAUGUGGCACUCUCUUCGGACGGUGUGUUAUAGCCUUUUCUUUGGUACGGCGGCUGGGAUCGAGAACGCAGUGCACCCUUGUGGGCGGGCCUUCGGGCACCUUUGCACAUAGGAUGUUGGCUUAAUGGCUCUCUGCCACCCGUCUUGAAACACGGACCA
rnacentral:rRNA from 1 species